CACGAAAUAAUAUGAGCUAAAGGUUAUUAUAUGUUAGUAAAAAAAAAUGUUGCAAAAUAGAUUAAAGUAACCUUUAGGGGUGACAGGCUUUUCAAAUAUUAAGAUAUCUUGCUUCUCCUCAAACUUAUUUAGUAACACAGCAGACUUGGAGUACUAAGGUUCCAAUUUUAAAUAAACCUAUACGUUGAUAAGUUAUCUAGUGUAAAAACACAUAAGUAGCGAUAAUAAUAUUGAUUUAUGUUAAUUAUUGAAAUUAGGGGGAAAUAUUUUAACUUCUGUAUAUAUAUAUAAUGUUAACAUUAGUAGUUAUAUUAAGUAUCUUAAAUGAACUCGGCUAAAAUUUCUCGACUGUUUAUCAAAAACAUAGCUAGAUGUAAGUAUAUUUAGUUCUUCCUGCUCAAUGAUAUAGUUUAAUAGCCGCAGUACUCUGACUGUGCAAAGGUAGCAUAAUCAAUUGGCUUAUAAUUGAAGUCUAGAAUGAAAGGAUAUACGGGUAAUUACUGUAUUUGAGGUUUAAUUCUAAGUUGGUUUUCAAGUGCAAAUACUUGUGAAUAAUUGUUAGACGAGAAGACCCUAGAAAUUUGUAUAAAUGUUUCGUUGGGGCAACGUAGUAGGAAUAACCUACAGUAACGGACAAGAAAAUUUUUAGAGUGAAAAAAUUACUCUAGGGAUAACAGCAUAAUUUAUUAAAGUUUGUGACCUCGAUGUUGGAUUUGGGAAUUAUAGUCCAGA
rnacentral:rRNA from 1 species